GCAAGUCGAACGGCGGCACGGGUGCUUGCACCUGGUGGCGACGGCGGACGGGCGAGUAAUUCAUCGGAACGUACCUUAUCGUGGGGGAUAACCCAGCGAAAGCAGUGCUAAUACCGCAUACGUCCUAAGGGGGAAAGCAGGGGAUCGAAAGACCUCGCGCGAUUAGAGCGGCCGAUGUCUGAUUAGCUUGUUGGUGGGGUAAAAGCCCACCAAGGCGACGAUCAGUAGCUGGUCUGAGAGGACGAUC
rnacentral:rRNA from 1 species